rnacentral:rRNA from 1 species
GAUGAACGCUGGCGGCGUGCCUAAUACAUGCAAGUCGAGCGAAUGGAUUAAGAGCUUGCUCUUAUGAAGUUAGCGGCAGACGGGUGAGUAACACGUGGGUAACCUGCCCAUAAGACUAGGAUAACUCCGGGAAACCGGGGCUAAUACCGGAUAACAUUUUGAACCGCAUGGUUCGAAAUUGAAAGGCGGCUUCGGCUGUCACUUAUGGAUGGACCCGCGUCGCAUUAGCUAGUUGGUAAGGUAACGGCUCACCAAGGCAACGAUGCGUAGCCGACCUGAGAGGGUGAUCGGCCACACUGGGACUGAGACACGGCCCAGACUCCUACGGGAGGCAGCAGUAGGGAAUCUUCCGCAAUGGACGAAAGUCUGACGGAGCAACGCCGCGUGAGUGAUGAAGGCUUUCGGGUCGUAAAACUCUGUUGUUAGGGAAGAACGAGUGCUAGUUGAAUAAGCUGGCACCUUGACGGUACCUAACCAGAAAGCCACGGCUAACUACGUGCCAGCAGCCGCUGUAA